CUGGGAGACAGUUAAUGCCUGGGACACGGACUGAUCUGCUUCCUGGGUCCCUGAGCCUCUCAGGGCCCUUAGGCCAGCGGUUCUGCCCAGGAACUCAUUUCCUUCAAUAUCAGAUCCUGACUUGAGGCCAGUUGGAGAUUCUCAAGUGUUUCCUUUGCAGCAACAGAAAUCUCCAUCCAACUGAAACCAAGAGUGUUCAAAACAGAUCUGUGUGGUAGAUAUGGGAAUGGAGGCCCCAGGUGACAACAGGAGAGGCCCCUCCCCAGUCCCAUGGGGACCUUGGGGCUCAGAGAAACCCAGUGAAAUCCCUCAUCCAGGCCCCAGGCUGCUUGGGUCUUCUGGGAUCUCAAACAAACGGGAUUUGCCCUUCAACCACCCCAUAAUCUUUCUUUCUUUCUUUCUUUCCCCACUCCCCCAGGGAGAGAUCCUACACCUUUAAGAAGUGGUGCAGGGGACAGCAGCAUGUGAGCAAGAGACUGUUCCUGAAGGUAACCUGGGACUGGAGAUCUGGGAGAAGGGGUGUGAGAGGGGGCCGGGAACAUCCUGAGGGCAUCCUAGGAAGUGAGGCUAUGGUAAGGCCAUCCUGGGGUUCAGAGACCCCUGUCGGUGGGGCAGGGAGGAGAUGCCGCAUGGCCACCACCAACACCCUCUGCCCUCUCCCUCCAUGUCUCAGUUUGUCUAUUGUUGGAACACACUCUGGGAGUGCAGAGGUCAGGACGGUGGUCAGUGGUGGGGCACGGCGAUGGGUGAAGGCAGUGGGGACAGGGACUCUGGCUGGGAGGGAGAGUGGCCUCUCCUCAGUGGGUCCUUGAGCAAGUCUCUGCCCCUCUGUGGGCCUCGGUCUCCUCCUCUGGGAAAUGGGGGGAGAUGACGUGGUGCAGGCCUUAUGGCAGGGUGAUACCGUCCAAGGGAGGACAGGAAUGGGAGGAGAUUCGUGCUGGCUCCUCCUCAAGAGCUGAGGGGAGAGCAGUGAUGACAGUCAGAUGACAGGGAGUCCUCAGGAGAGCCCUGGAGGCAGGUGGAGUUCUCCCCACUCUUUCCUGAUGAGGAAAGAGUCUCAGGGAGGCCUGAGCAGGCCCAAGGUCAGACAAGAGUGAGUCCUGGAGCCAGGACUGGUCUAGAAUCAGAGCACCCUGGAGGUGGGAACAGCAUAGGCAGCAGGGGACUGGAGCCAGAUGGCCAGGGUCUGAGGUCAGGGGCCUUGAGGGACAUGUGAAAGGGAGCAGGGCCUCUCUGACCCUGUCCUCGGCACUGACAGGAGGCGACCUCCUUGUUGGUCAGUGCAUAGAGGGGCUGCCAUAGAGCCCGGGAGAGGCGGCGGCAGCAGGGUGUCAUCCCCUCCCUCAAGAUGAUCUUCAGUUACCUGGAGCUGCUGCAUGAUGAGACAGAUUAUUAUGUGGAGGGGAAUGUGCUCAGCUGUCGGAAUGAGGAAUUCAAAUUCAUCAAGGACAUCGAGAUGGUCCAGAAGGCUGCAAAUCUGUACACCGUGCAGCCCAAUGAGCAUUUUGGUGCCUGGUUCCAGGCUGUGGAGCCCCUGAGUGAGGAGGCGAGCUACAGCCUGUCCUGUCAGCUGGAGCCACAAUACCAGUGGGCCAGAAAGAUUCGACUCUUCUUCAAAGACAAGAAGAGCCACUCAUCUUCCCGCCCAGGGCUGAACACCAGGCCCCCAAAAAAGAGCCCAGCGGUGGUGGCAGAUGACGCUCCUGAGACCAGCUGAACUACAGCAGGGACACUCAGGUACACAGGUCCACCUCUCAGAUGCUGAUGUGAAUGAAAACUUUGUGAUCCAUUUCCUGGGGUCCCUGAAGGCCACAAGGCAGUGGACAAUCUGCCCAUCUCCCUCACACAUUUUCCCCAG
ensembl:lncRNA